UCUCAACAUGAUCAACUACACCUUGGUGAGGACAAGUCUUCAAGCAAGAGGAAUUGGCAAAAGAGGAAAUAUGGGACAGAUUUGAGGGAUAAAAUAAAUCAGAAGCGUGAUAGGAAUGAUUACAAUGGAAGAAUCUCAAAUCAGAAGGUUGACAAGAGGAAAUUUAAUUGCCAUAAUUGUGGUGAACAAGGACACUUCAGAUCUGAGUGCACUAAGAAGAGGAAGCCAGAUGAUAAGAAGUAUAACGACAACCAGUCCAAGCAUCAGGAUAAUAGAAGGGGAAAUUCUUCACCUGAUGCUAUGUCACAUGUU
rnacentral:rRNA from 1 species